UACGAAGGGGGCUAGCGUUGUUCGGAUUUACUGGGUGUAAAGAGCGCGUAGGCGGUUUUGUAAGUUAGACGUGAAAGCCCUGGGCUUAACCUGGGAAAUGCGUUUAAAACUACAAGGCUAGAGUAUGGGAGAGGAUAGUGGAAUUCCGAGUGUAGAGGUGAAAUUCGUAGAUAUUCGGAGGAACACCAGAAGCGAAGGCGACUAUCUGGACCAUUACUGACGCUGAGGUGCGAAAGCGUGGGGAUCAAACAGG
rnacentral:rRNA from 1 species